rnacentral:rRNA from 1 species
AGAAGAUAUGAAAGGAAAGCGGCGGACGGGUGAGUAACGCGUGAGUAACCUGCCUAUCAGAGGGGGACAACAUUUCGAAAGGGAUGCUAAUACCGCAUGAUAUCUAAGUACCGCAUGGUAUUUAGAUCAAAGAUUUAUCGCUGAUAGAUGGACUCGCGUCUGAUUAGCUAGUUGGUGAGGUAACGGCUCACCAAGGCGACGAUCAGUAGCCGAACUGAGAGGUUGAUCGGCCACAUUGGGACUGAGACACGGCCCAGACUCC